CUCUUUCCGCCUGUCCGCUCCCCAUUGGCCGCCGGUUGUCGUGACAACGGCGGGCACCAGGCCCCCGAGAGUCUGCACGCCGCAGGCGAGGGGCGGCUUCCCGGCUGUAACACGUGCGUGCAGGAAACAGGUUGGUGGUCGCGGCGAGCUUGCUGAGUUCAGAUCGAGACUCAUCCACAGACGUCACAAGACUCUGCAGGCCUUGGCAGGAGGAAGCGUUUAUUGUACCCAUUGGACCUUUGAGAAAACUGAGGCUGAGCACCGAUGUACGACACAAUGAUUCAUAUAUACUGGAAUGCAAAGUGAUCACAAUAAGUCUACUUAACACCCAUCGCCUCACAUCAGUUAGUUUUUCUUAUGAUGAGAAUUUUAAAGAUUUACUCUCUUGCAUGCGUGCU
ensembl:lncRNA